rnacentral:rRNA from 1 species
AUCGAUGAAGAACGCAGCGAAAUGCGAUAAGUAAUGUGAAUUGCAGAAUUCAGUGAAUCAUCGAAUCUUUGAACGCAUCUUGCGCUCCUUGGUAUUCCUUGGAGCAUGCCUGUUUGAGUGUCAUGAAAAGUUCUCAACCACACUGGUUCUUUCUGGUGGUGGCUUGGAUUUGAGGGAUUUUGCAGGCUUUUCGAGUCGGCUCCCUUGAAAACGAUUAGCGGUAUCUGAGCAUACGUGAGGUGUGAUUAAAUAAUCUAUGCCUUGAUGUAUUUGAGAUUUUGCUUUAUCAAAAAUGAUAUGGGUUUUUUGACCUCAAAUCAGGUAGGACUACCCGCUGAACUUAAGCAUAUCAAUAAGCGGAGGAAAAGAAACUAACAAGGAUUCCCCUAGUAACUGCGAGUGAAGCGGGAAGAGCUCAAAUUUAAAAUCUGGUGGUUUUCAUGACUGCCCGAGUUGUAAUCUAGAGAAGUGCUACCUGUGCUGGACCAUGUAAAAGUCUCCUGGAAUGGAGCAUCAUAGAGGGUGAGAAUCCCGUCUUUGACAUGGACUGCCUGCAUGUCAAGGUGCGCUCUCGAAGAGUCGAGUUGUUUGGGAAUGCAGCUCAAAAUGGGUGGUAAAUGCCAUCUAAAGCUAAAUAUUGGCGAGAGACCGAUAGCGAACAAGUACCGUGAGGGAAAGAUGAAAAGAACUUUGGAAAGAGAGUUAAACAGUACGUGAAAUUGCUGAAAGGGAAACGCUUGAAGUCAGUCGCAUUGGCUAGAAAUCAGCCUUGCUUUUGCUUGGUGUACUUUCUUGCUGAUGGGUCAGCAUCGGUUUUGACCAUUGGAUAAGGACCUUGGGAAUGUGGCAUCUUUGGAUGUGUUAUAGCCCAUUGUCGCAUGCAGUGGUUGGGACUGAGGAACUCAGCACGCUCGCAAGAGCAGGGGUCAUUCGAUCACCUUACCGUGCUUAGGAUGCUGGCAUAAUGGCUUUAAUCGACCCGUCUUGAAACACGG